rfam:Actinobacteria bacterium GWC2_53_9 gwc2_scaffold_1516, whole genome shotgun sequence.
GGGGGAUUAGCUCAGUUGGGAGAGCGCCUGCCUUGCACGCAGGAGGUCAUCGGUUCGAGCCCGUUAUCCUCCA